rnacentral:lncRNA from 1 species
CCUGAAGCGCCUUUGGUCAUGGCAUCUAUCAUUUAACCUAUUAUAACACCCACAUUUUAGUACUUAUUCCCAAUGGGGAGCAGAGCAUAAUGAAGAGAGCAACAGAAUAUUCAACAGCAAUCUGGAAGAGUCCAUUAGACUGCAAAUAAUUGGUGCAACAGGAAAGAUGUGAGGCACAGGACAGGAUGGAGCAGUAUGCAGAGAGAGAAGCCUAAGGACAAAACCAGGUAAAGUCUACGGAGAAGAGAGGCCAAAGCACAGAGGAAGAUGGGAAGAAAAAGACUGGAAAAGCAGUGGGUACUUCUUUAUGAGGAAAAAGCAGUGGGUACUUCUCUAUAGCUACCAAUUCACAGCUGACAAUGUAUUUGAAAAACAAGACAAUCUUUGCAUUGAAGCCAUCAAGUUCGCACAAUCACUUCCCUUUAUGGAGAUGCCCUCUUAUGGUAUUGACCCCUUUCACAGCAGCUGGAAAUCCCCUCUGUGCUGCUACCUGAACAACCCCUUCACCGCAACUCUGCCAACUGGAAACAAGUUAAAUUUUUUAUGCAAUUCAGCAUUCUUAUUGCUAAAAAGAACAAUACAAAGAGUCCAGAAGAGUGAAAGUUAAGAAAGUCCCUCUGAAUUUACUUCCUUGAGUAUCCCUUACAACAUACUCUAUGAGAAGGGACCAUCCCGAGAGUAAGUGCAAUAUCUUGAUGAAGUUCCUUGUCUGAGUGGCACAACUUACAGAUGAGUGUUACAUUGACUGCUUUGGAGUAAUGUAAUGGUGCCUAAAAUGGUGCCCGAAGUGCUUAGAAGAACAUUUGUAUUUAAAUGUCUAACAAACUUCAAG